UCUGCUCAGUGUCUUGCGCCGUCUUUGGCCCACAUGAACUCUGCUGCGGUGUCAACUGAAGUGCAGAACAAGGAUUAUGUCACAUAAUAACUAUUGUAACUUAGAGAAACUAAAAAGCCAUGUAUCAUGUUUCUGUGUGAUUUCUGUGUGACAAGUGCUCUCUCUCUUUCUCCUGUUUUCGGUGUUUUAACAGUUUAAUCAGAUUAUAUGAGGGAGUUUUAUUUUGUUUAGUAAGUUCUAAGUAAUGGAAAAGUUUUAAAAUUAACUACCUUUUACUAAGAAAGUAAAUGUUUUUCUGAUUCUAAUUUAACCAUCUCUUUCUACUAUAAUUCUCUGCUGCUUGCUUUUAAAGACUAAAAAGGAUUCCAUAUGCAGAAUCUAUUUGAGUUCUUGAGUUUUUUCUUCUUGAAUAAGUAGAUAUGGGAACACAUGCAGUCUGUACAGCAUACACUGACACAGAGG
rnacentral:lncRNA from 1 species